rnacentral:lncRNA from 1 species
GGACGCCUUGUCUUGCGCAAGACAGGAAGGGGGAGGCCCGGGGUGGUGGCGGGUGACACCAGGACCCCGUGUCCACCCGGCUGUAGACGGGGUGGGCAAGGGAGGCCCCAGCCAGGCUUCCUGUGUGCUGACUGCACGGGGCAAAAAGGAGAAGUGGGGUCCUGGGUCACAGGGACAUCUGGGCAGCGCCUUCCCUUCCCAGCCCAGCUCUCCCGCCUGCCGCCCUGAUCCAGGGGCCCCGAGUUGAAAUCCCAGCGCCCCAUCUCCAGCUGCGUGACUUCGGACAGCGCAUGUGCGCGGCCUCCGGUUCCGGGCGCUCCUGGGGAGCAUGGAAACCCUCCUCCAGGCCUCCAACCCCUCUGGGGCAUUGUCGUCAUCGUCCCCAUUCGCAGACGAGGAAACUGAGGCCAUAGGGUGUUUUCAAACAGCAACCACCACGCUUGAAGAUUUAGAAGCUUCAUGGACAAGGGCAGGCCUGAGGACCUACUGUGCGCUGGAGACACAAAGAUGAGGCCAACGUGACCCCAUCUUUCCACCCCGGCCCGCAGCAGGCGUGACUAGUCAAUUAGGAUUCUCCCUCCUGGGAGCCCAGAUGCAGCCUCAGAACCCUGCUCUCCAGCCACUGCCACCCGGAGCGCUGAGGCCAGAGUAAGGGAGGAGAGUGCACUGGCCUGCUCCAUCCCAGCUCCGGGCCGGUUCAGAGGAGAACCUUCCCAGGAAAGAGGUUGCCCUCUGGCAAGCUACCUUUGGGUACUUCUCUGUGACCAGGAGCUCUGGGACCCAUCUACCCCUGCCAGCCCAGCCAAUCAGGCCUGAACAUGGCGUCUCCAGAGCAUGGAAGAUGGCCUCACUGGGACAAGAAGAAAAUGGGAAUGAACCCUGAGUCGGGGAGAAAAUAGAGAGGGGCAGGGAUAAGAAGGCUGAAAAGGGGCCUUUUAGAAAAGAUUUCAUUUGGGGCAGCAAGCUCCUGGGAGAAAAAAGUAUCACUUUGCAGACACUUAACCCCUCACCUAGAAGUGUGGGUGCCACAGACAGACGCACCUCAUGCUACAGGAGAGGAAAUGAGGCCCGGGGCCAUCAG